rnacentral:rRNA from 1 species
UACGAAGGGGGCUAGCGUUGCUCGGAAUCACUGGGCGUACAGCGCACGUAGGCGGAUUGCUAAGUCAGGGGUGAAAUCCUGGAGCUCAACUCCAGAACUGCCCUUGAUACUGGCGGUCUCGAGUCCGGGAGAGGUGAGUGGAACUGCGAGUGUAGAGGUGAAAUUCGUAGAUAUUCGCAAGAACACCAGUGGCGAAGGCGGCUCACUGGCCCGGUACUGACGCUGAGGUGCGAAAGCGUGGGGAGCAAACAGG